CACAGGUGUAUUUGUCAGCAGCCACACGAGUUGAAUGUUGCCUCAACAGUUCACGGUCGCUUGAGUUUUCGCCAAUCAGUUACCAACCCAUCUUGUUGAACCACUUUUUUUCAGGCACUCCCAUAGCAAGCACUGAGAGUUAGCAAUAGUACAGGAUUCAAGUGAAUUGUCUCUUUCAUUUAAAGGAAUGCAAUUUUUUUUGCAAUUAACAAAAAAAUGGUAUUUCGGACGAGUUGCAACGUGCGACCGAUAGGUUAAAUGAACAUAGUGAUUGUAACAAGCAGGUGAUCGGUUAAACGUCAACAAGGUGGGGUUGUACUGGACAGGUGUUCAGUUUAACAGCGGAUCGGAAGGUAAACGAAGCUAAGGUCUGUUGUCCUCAAACCUAAGUUACCUCCCUCCACUGCAUAUUUUAAGUGACAUUUGACUGUAAAGCCGAGUAGAAUCUGAUGAAGGGCUUGCGCAAAGUGUCUAAGGCCUUGAGGAUUUUAGUUCGUCAACUGUUUGGUCUUCGCCAUGCGAGUUCUGUUAGAAUCCAUCGAUCAACAGGGAUGUCACUUGAGCUGGAACAACAUAACUCGGUCUUCCGAUCUGAGAACCCAGAGUUGCGGUCUGAUACUUCCAAGGUCCACGAGAGAGAAACACACUAAAGCUUUCAAAGGCACAGUGGUGAAAAGCCAUCAUCUAAGGCCUUUCAGUCAUAGUGUACCAAUGAGCUGGUAACUUGUAGGGCCCGUGCUUGUGACAGAAUGUAUAGUUAAUGUCAUAAUUUUGGAUUUGGAUUCAAACUCGAGUGCAAAGUUCUCAACUGAAAAACGUGUAUUUUAUUGUAUUUUCUGAAAUGUCCAAUUUGAUAUGUUUUGUAAUGUACUUAAUUGUAGUUUAUGAACAAAGCAUAUUUUUACAUUAAAAAUGAUUAUAUGCCAAGGAA